rnacentral:rRNA from 1 species
UACGGAGGGUGCAAGCGUUAUCCGGAUUCACUGGGUUUAAAGGGUGCGUAGGCGGCUUUGUAAGUCAGUGGUGAAAUAUGGCAGCUCAACUGUCAGGGUGCCAUUGAUACUGCGGAGCUUGAGUACAGAUGAGGUAGGCGGAAUUGACGGUGUAGCGGUGAAAUGCUUAGAUAUCGUCAAGAACACCGAUAGCGAAGGCAGCUUACUGGGCUGUAACUGACGCUGAGGCACGAAAGUGUGGGGAUCAAACAGG